rnacentral:rRNA from 1 species
CGAGCGUUGUCCGGAAUUACUGGGCGUAAAGAGCUCGUAGGUGGUUUGUCGCGUUGUUCGUGAAAUCUCACGGCUUAACUGUGAGCGUGCGGGCGAUACGGGCAGACUUGAGUACUGCAGGGGAGACUGGAAUUCCUGGUGUAGCGGUGGAAUGCGCAGAUAUCAGGAGGAACACCGGUGGCGAAGGCGGGUCUCUGGGCAGUAACUGACGCUGAGGAGCGAAAGCGUGGGGAGCGAACAGGAUUAGAUACCCUGGUAGUCCACGCCGUAAACGGUGGGUACUAGGUGUGGGUUUCCUUCCUUGGGAUCCGUGCCGUAGCUAACGCAUUAAGUACCCCGCCUGGGGAGUACGGCCGCGAGGCUAAAACUCAAAGAAAUUGACGGGGGCCCGCACAAGCGGCGGAGCAUGUGGAUUAAUUCGAUGCAACGCGAAGAACCUUACCUGGGUUUGACAUGCACAGGACGCCGGCAGAGAUGUCGGUUCCCUUGUGGCCUGUGUGCAGGUGGUGCAUGGCUGUCGUCAGCUCGUGUCGUGAGAUGUUGGGUUAAGUCCCGCAACGAGCGCAACCCUUGUCUCAUGUUGCCAGCGGGUAAUGCCGGGGACUCGUGAGAGACUGCCGGGGUCAACUCGGAGGAAGGUGGGGAUGACGUCAAGUCAUCAUGCCCCUUAUGUCCAGGGCUUCACACAUGCUACAAUGGCCGGUACAAAGGGCUGCGAUGCCGCGAGGUUAAGCGAAUCCUUUUAAAGCCGGUCUCAGUUCGGAUCGGGGUCUGCAACUCGACCCCGUGAAGUCGGAGUCGCU